GCGCGAGUGGUGAAAUUGGUAUACACGCAGCCUUGAGGUGGCUGUGCCGCAAGGUGUGGAGGUUCAAGUCCUCUCUCGCGCACCA
rnacentral:tRNA from 1 species